AUUGAACGCUGGCGGCAUGCCUAACACAUGCAAGUCGAGCGGAUGAGGGAAGCUUGCUUCCCGAUUUAGCGGCGGACGGGUGAGUAAUGCCUAGGAAUCUGCCUAUUAGUGGGGGAUAACGUUCCGAAAGGAACGCUAAUACCGCAUACGUCCUACGGGAGAAAGUGGGGGAUCUUCGGACCUCACGCUAAUAGAUGAGCCUAGGUCGGAUUAGCUAGUUGGUGAGGUAACGGCUCACCAAGGCGACGAUCCGUAGCUGGUCUGAGAGGAUGAUCAGCCACACUGGAACUGAGACACGGUCCAGACGCCUACGGGAGGCAGCAGUGGGGAAUAUUGGACAAUGGGCGAAAGCCUGAUCCAGCCAUGCCGCGUGUGUGAAGAAGGUCUUCGGAUUGUAAAGCACUUUAAGUUGGGAGGAAGAGUUGUAAGCUAAUAUCUUGCAGCUUUGACGUUACCAACAGAAUAAGCACCGGCUAACUCUGUGCCAGCCGCCGCGGUAACAC
rnacentral:rRNA from 1 species